rnacentral:rRNA from 1 species
GACAGAGGGUGCAAACGUUGUUCGGAAUUACUGGGCGUAAAGCGCGUGUAGGCGGCUAAGUAAGUCGGGCGUGAAAUCCCACGGCUCAACCGUGGAAGUGCACUCGAAACUGCAUAGCUAGAGUCCUGGAGAGGAAGGUGGAAUGCUUGGUGUAGAGGUGAAAUUCGUAGAUAUCAAGCGGAACACCGGUGGCGAAGGCGGCCUUCUGGACAGUGACUGACGCUGAGACGGCGAAAAGCGUGGGGGAGCAAACA